UCCAGCUCCUCCAUCAAAGUUUGCUCAGUCUCAUCCAUUUCCUAACAUUAAUUCAUAAAAACAAACAUCAAAUUGUACAGCGAGUAUAGGAAGAGAUUAUUGCUUACAGAAAUAUCCUAGGACUCCUAUAAGAUAUGUAGUUAUGACGGUGACUGAAGCAAUGACAGG